AAAAAUUUAGUUAAACUAUAACAUUAGCUUGUCAAGCUAAAAUUAUCUUUAAAGAUAAUUUUUA
rnacentral:tRNA from 1 species